rnacentral:rRNA from 1 species
GUACAAGGUUGAUCCUUCGCAGAAACACUUGCGUAAGCCUUUGCAGCUGGAGACAGUAGCCCAACGACUGUAAACAAUUGGCGCCUCAUGCAAGUCAGCUCCGGCUGGCGACACUUUCGAAUUGCGGGGAACCCCUAAGAGCUCUUCACACCAAGCCAGCCCGGGAAACCGGCUGGUGGCCCAUUGGAAACCAUGGGGUACGGUAACAGCUGAAGAGAUGACCCGGCCGCCUCGCAGCAGCCGGCGAAAUGGGCGAUCCGCAGCGAAGCCCCUUCUGUUGGUGGUAGCAGCCUCGGCCGCAGCCAAACAUGGGGAACGUUCACAGACUAAGUGGAAGUGGGUGGGGCCUAGCCCUGCUUAAGAUAUAGUCGGGCCCCCUUGGAAACUUGGGGGGGUGAGUUCGGCCUCCUGGCCGGCUCCAAGCAAACCGUUCCGUAGGUGAACCUGCGGAAGGAUCAUUAUCCAUCUCAAACCAGGUGCGGUCGCGGCCCCCGGGGGCUUGCUCCCGGGUGGUAGGGGUAACACCUGCACGCGCCGCCUGCCUGUACCCUCUUUUUACGAGCACCUUUCGUUCUCCUUCGGCGGGGCAACCUGCCGCUGGAACCAAAACAAAACCUUUUUUGCAUCUAGCAUUACCUGUUCUGAUACAAACAAUCGUUACAACUUUCAACAAUGGAUCUCUUGGCUCUGGCAUCGAUGAAGAACGCAGCGAAAUGCGAUAAGUAGUGUGAAUUGCAGAAUUCAGUGAAUCAUCGAAUCUUUGAACGCACAUUGCGCCCCUUGGUAUUCCAUGGGGCAUGCCUGUUCGAGCGUCAUCUACACCCUCAAGCUCUGCUUGGUGUUGGGCGUCUGUCCCGCCUCUGCGCGCGGACUCGCCCCAAAUUCAUUGGCAGCGGUCUUUGCCUCCUCUCGCGCAGCACAAUUGCGUCUGCGGGGGGGCGUGGCCCGCGUCCACGAAGCAACAUUACCGUCUUUGACCUCGGAUCAGGUAGGGAUACCCGCUGAACUUAA